rnacentral:lncRNA from 1 species
AUGGUGAUCCUUUGCUUACUUGCAUUGUCUCUGUGUCUCCAUUCCUGGGGGAUUUUCUUGGACCCUACAUACCAAUAUGUAAUAUUGAUACUAAGAUGGAAGACUUGCCCAGGACUUGAGCACUUCCAAGCAUUGCCGGGCCCAGCCAGGAUCUCCAAAAUUCUAGAGAGAAGGUAUUUCUGCAGCUGACUGCAGGUUGACUUUGCUGUCAAGCCUCCAGCUAAACAAUUGAAUCAUCUUGCCAAAAUUGAAAGAACUCUGGAGUUGGUUUUAAAGGAGCUCAGUUCAAGUUUUAGAAGAUAUGAGCCUUUCCAGGGAUGUAAUGGGAAAUGUUUAACAAUUGGUCCCCUUAAAAAAUGUAUGCUGGAUAUAUUUUUAAGUGUAAUCUGUAUUAUUAACAUUUUCCCCAACACUUUUUUAAGUCGAGUCAUACAAUAAAACAAAUAAAUCAAGCA